rnacentral:rRNA from 1 species
CACGUAGGGCGCGAGCGUUGUCCGGAAUUAUUGGGCGUAAAGAGCUCGUAGGCGGUCUGUUACGUCCGCUGUGAAAACCCAGGGCUUAACCCUGGGCUUGCAGUGGAUACGGGUAGACUAGAGGCAGGUAGGGGAGAAUGGAAUUCCCGGUGUAGCGGUGAAAUGCGCAGAUAUCGGGAGGAACACCGGUGGCGAAGGCGGUUCUCUGGGCCUGACCUGACGCUGAGGGGCGAAAGCGUGGGGAGCGAACAGG